rnacentral:rRNA from 1 species
UUUGUCGUAGCUUGCUAUGAUAAAAAUUAGUGGCAGACGGGUGAGUAAUGCAUAGGAAUCUACCUAGUAGUAUGGGAUAGCCACUAGAAAUGGUGGGUAAUACUGUAUAAUCCCUGCGGGGGAAAGAUUUAUCGCUAUUAGAUGAGCCUAUGUUAGAUUAGCUAGUUGGUAGGGUAAAGGCCUACCAAGGCAGUGAUCUAUAGCUGGUCUGAGAGGAUGAUCAGCCACACUGGAACUGAGAUACGGUCCAGACUCCUACGGGAGGCAGCAGUGGGGAAUAUUGGACAAUGGGCGCAAGCCUGAUCCAGCUAUGCCGCGUGAGUGAGGAAGGCCUUAGGGUUGUAAAACUCU